rnacentral:rRNA from 1 species
AGAUUGAACGCUGGCGGCAGGCCUAACACAUGCAAGUCGAGCGGCAGCACGGGUACUUGUACCUGGUGGCGAGCGGCGGACGGGUGAGUAAUGCCUAGGAAUCUGCCUGGUAGUGGGGGAUAACGCUCGGAAACGGACGCUAAUACCGCAUACGUCCUACGGGAGAAAGCAGGGGACCUUCGGGCCUUGCGCUAUCAGAUCGAGCCUAGGUCGGAUUAGCUAGUUGGUGAGGUAAUGGCUCACCAAGGCGACGAUCCGUAACUGGUCUGAGAGGAUGAUCAGUCACGACUGGAACUGAGACACGGUCCAGACUCCUACGGGAGCAGCGAGUGGGAAUAUUGGACAAGUGGGCAAAGCCUGAUCCAGCCAUCGCCGCGUGUGU